UGGGGAAUAUUGGACAAUGGGCGAAAGCCUGAUCCAGCCAUGCCGCGUGUGUGAAGAAGGUCUUCGGAUUGUAAAGCACUUUAAGUUGGGAGGAAGGGCAGUAAGCGAAUACCUUGCUGUUUUGACGUUACCGACAGAAUAAGCACCGGCUAACUCUGUGCCAGCAGCCGCGGUAAUACAGAGGGUGCAAGCGUUAAUCGGAAUUACUGGGCGUAAAGCGCGCGUAGGUGGUUCGUUAAGUUGAAUGUGAAAGCCCCGGGCUCAACCUGGGAACUGCAUCCAAAACUGGCGAGCUAGAGUAGGGCAGAGGGUGUGGAAUUUCCUGUGUAGCGGUGAAAUGCGUAGAUAUAGGAAGGAACACCAGUGGCGAAGGCGACCACCUGGGCUCAUACUGACACUGAGGUGCGAAAGCGUGGGGAGCAAACAGG
rnacentral:rRNA from 1 species